rnacentral:rRNA from 1 species
UACGGAAGGCAGCAGUGGGGAAUAUUGCACAAUGGGCGAAAGCCUGAUGCAGCUAUGCCGCGUGUAUGAAGAAGGCCUUAGGGUUGUAAAGUACUUUCAUCGGGGAGGAAAAAACAAAACUAAUAAUUUUAUUUCUUGACGUUACCCGAAAAAGAAGCACCGGCUAACUCCGUGCCAGCAGCCGCGGUAAUACGGAGGGUGCUAGCGUUAAUCAGAAUUACUGGGCGUAAAGAGCACGUAGGUGGUUUUUUUAAAGUCAGAUGUGAAAUCCCUGGGCUUAACCUAGGAACUGCAUUUUGAAACUGAAAUACUAGAGUAUCGUAGAGGGAGGUAGAAUUCUAGGUGUAGCGGUGAAAUGCGUAGAUAUCUGGAGGAAUACCUGUGGCGAAAGCGGCCUCCUAAACGAAUACUGACACUGAGGUGCGAAAGCGUGGGGAGCGAAACAGGGAUUAGAUACCCGU